rnacentral:rRNA from 1 species
GUCCACGCCGUAAACGAUGAGAACUAGCCGUUGGACCCCUUGAGGGUUUAGUGGCGUAGCUAACGCGAUAAGUUCUCCGCCUGGGGAGUACGGCCGCAAGGCUAAAACUCAAAUGAAUUGACGGGGCCCGCACAAGCGGUGGAGCAUGUUGUUUAAUUCGAUGCAACGCGAAGAACCUUACCACCCCUUGACAUCCUCGGAACUUGGCAGAGAUGCCUUGGUGCCUUCGGGAGCCGAGUGACAGGUGCUGCAUGGCUGUCGU